CGGGGGCGCGCCGCGGUCCUCGGCCACCAGCGUCAGGUUGUACUCGGCGAUGCGCUCGCGGUCCAGCGACGCCGCGGUCACCACCAGGUAGCUGCCCGCGUAGGCCGGCUGCAGCCGGAAGUGCUCUUGCCCGUAGAGGGCGCAGCGCACCUGCCCGUUGGCGCCCGGGUCCCUGUCCGAGGUGCUGACCAGCGCCACCAGGCUCUCGCGCGCCGCCCCCUCUGGCACCAGGGAGACGGCGCCCGCCUCGGGCGUCCCGGGCCCGGUGGGCGAGGUCGCGCCCGCACCCCCGAGGGCGGGGGCGGCGGCGGCCGCGGCGAAGGGAGAGGCGGCAGGUGCGCCCGGGGCGGCCAGCGGGGUGAUGGUGAUGUCCGGAGCGUUGUCGUUGACGUCGCGGAUGCGCACGAUGACCUUGCAGGUGGAGGCCCGGGGCCCGGGGCCGCGGUCCUGGGCGCGCACGUCCAGCUCGUAGGUGUCCUGGCGCUCGUAGUCCACGGGUCCUGCCAGGGUGAGGCGGCCGGAGCGCGGGUCCAGGCGGAAGAGGCGGCGCGCCUCGGGCCGGGUGCGGGCACCGAAGGCGAACGCCGCAUCGCCGUUGAGGCUCUCGUCGGGGUCCGCCGCGUCCAGGUCGAGCAGCAGCGAGCCCACGGGCCCGUCCUCCUCCAGCUCCACUUCGGCCACCGCGCCCUGCGGGAAGGCCGGGCUGUGGUCGUUGGCGUCCAGCACUCGCACGCUGAGGGCGGCCGUGGCGGAGCGCGGCGGGCGGCCGCCGUCCUGGGCCACCAGCUCCAGGCUGUAGGCGGCCUGGCUCUCGCGGUCCAGCUCCUGCAGCAGCACCAGGUCCGCGCACUGGGCGCCGUCCGCGCGCGUCUGCAGUUCCACGCGGAAGGGGCUGUGAGGCUCGGCCAGGCGCACGCUCUGCAGCCCGUUGGCCCCCACGUCCUCGUCCACCGGCACCUCCAGGGGGAUGCGCGUGCCCACGGCCGCGCCCUCGGACACCUCCACGGGGAUCUGGGCCCGGGGGAAGCGCGGCGCGUGGUCGUUGAUGUCCCUCACCUCCACCUCCACGUGCACCAGCCGGAACUGCUCCUGGGAGAAGCUGACCACGUCGAAGGCCAGCACGCACUGUGGCGCUCGGCCGCACAGCCGCUCGCGGUCCAGGCCCGCGUCCCCGACGGUCAGCUGCCCGUCGCCCUCGCGCACCCGGAGCAGCGAGCUGUUGAACUGCUUCAUCAGGCGGAAGCUGGUGUCUCCGGACACUUUCAUAUGCAGGUGCGGAAAUUGACAGUUUUGAUGCAAGAUUCGGACACCAGCUGCAGCCGCAGAACUAGCAAGAAUUCCAGUCUGGUCCAGCACAAAGUGUCAGCGGAAAAUCUGAGCCUCCAGCAAGCCAUCUUUGUUCCUCAAGGAGAAAAAAGCCAACAGGAGCUUAUCCUCUCUAUUCCUACUCUACACAGAAGCUCAUGUCCACCAGUAGUCAGAGCACUUUCAGGGCCUUUAUCAACAAAUAUUUGAUCAACUAUUGGUGAUACAUUAAAGCUUACAGCCCUGUAGAAGAAAAUACUUGAAAGGUAAGAAAAAUAAAUAAAUAAAACCAUCAGUGUUCA
rnacentral:lncRNA from 1 species